UUUGGAUAACUAAUGAAAAGCCAUUUUGUGUGCCUUGGCAUAUCAUGCCUAAGCUGUCACCAGAUAGAUCUAAUAAGACCUAAGCCUCAGAAGCAAGCCCCUGCCCAGCAAGCAGGCAGCACAGAUAAGAGCUAAACCCAGGACAGGCCAUGAUAUGCUAAUGAACUACCUUCAAGGUGGUGUUGCUGACCUAGUGAACCAGCCCCAAGCUGUGAGCCCCAAUAGCACAAAGCUACUGCCCAAAGAAAUUAUACAAAAAUUGGAACUUUGGGAAUGGUGUGCAGGAUCGCUCUGCUGUAUGCCUGGAACACAGCUUCUCUAUGUUUUGUAUUGAUACCAGUCUAGAAGCUUCCAAAACUUUCUCACUGAAGAAGAUUCCCCAUGUGGGACCCCUACAGACUCUUUUGCCCAAACAACUGCUUCCCUCCUGAGAGAAAGACAUUAAAAAUGAAGAGACAUGCAGAGAGUGCACCAUGCCAUCGUGGAGACAGACUGAAGUGACACAACUGUUAGUCAAAGAGGAUUAAGGACUUCCAGAAGCCACCAAAGGAAGGAGAUGGCUGUCUUCAUAUUUGUUCUAGACAUUGGUUCUACUCAAGUCAAGGCAAGUCAUCUGACCUUCACCAAGAAAGUCCAGCAUCCAGGAAAGGAAAUUGUAUGUUUGGAUAUGUAACCUGAAUUGUUCAGUCCUAUAGAUGUGACUUGCCCAUUAAAAUCAGAGGAAGACUGGGUAAGGUACUCCAGGACCAGCAGGAUAUGGCAAGCCCUGCCCAUCUGGUGCAGGAGCAUGACCCACAUGUGAUCAGGACUCACCUUCCUUCCAGUCAGAGCCUCAGGCUCUGCACAAAGACUCAAAUGUGCUGCCUGGGAAGGAGGAAGGGGAGGAGGAGGGCUUCUGACCUAUUACUACUUGGUCCACAAUGGUCUCUCAGAGCCCUAAGGAUCUGCACGUGGGCUCCACUGCACAGCUUCCUUUGUUAUCAACCAAAAACAGUAAUGUAGACAUGAGGAAAUUCUGGAAUAAGGUUCACCGUCCUGACACUAAAUGGAACACCCUCUACAGCUGCCCAACCCCUCCCCCUCUCCAUCUCCCUCUCCCUCUCUCUCUCUCUCUCUCCCUUCCCCUUUCCCUCUCCUCCUUCCCCAUCCAUGGCUGGGGUGGGGGGCUUCUGGUUUAGUUUUUGUUUAUUUGGAUUUACUGAGACAUGAUUUCACAAUCUACCCAAGUUGGCCUCAAUCUCACAAUCCUCCUGCCUCAACCUCCUGAGUGCUAGAAUUGUAGGUAUGUGUCCCACUGUCUCCAAUCUUUCUCUCAUCCUUCCUUUCUUUCUUUCUCUCUUUCUUUCUUUCUUUCUUUCUUUCUUUCUUUCUUUCUUUCCUUCUGAAGCAAUUGAGAAUACUUCAUGGGUAUAGAUAAGAGUAUUUAUGAAGUAUUUUAUUUAACAAAUUAAAAUGUUUGUGCUUUAGUUCCAUAAUAUGCCCAAUUAAAAAUUUAAAUAACUCUGUGGAAAAGAUUUUUUUAAGCUGGGGAAAAAGUAGAGAAAAAACUAUGAAUUAAAAAAAGGAAAACACUGGGAGGUUGCAAUGGCUGGAGAACUUGACUGUGUGUGUCUAGGAAUGAGGUUGUGUGUUGCAAUGCUUGUCACCUAGUCUGCCACUCCAUAUUCCAGGAUCCAUUGUUAAAUGACAUGCUUUUGGAGACUCCAAUGGUGAUGUUAACCAAAGCAGCUCACACCAAUAAUGAAAGAGUCCCCUGGAUUAUGGCAAUAGAAAUAUAACCCACUGCAGCCAAAAGACUAGAAGGUCCCGUGCUUCCCAGCCCUGCAAUGCCUUGCUUUUUAUUUACAUCUACCCUCCAUUCCAGGCAUCCUUUAGGACUAUAAAUGUUAAAGAUACAGACAGGAACUUCUAAGAAUAACUACCAAUAAAAGGAGCAAAGUCCUAGAAGCAAAGCAGGCAUAUGUGACAAAUGGCAGCACACAGUCCCCACUGCUGCCACCCUAGCAUAAGUGCAUACAAGCAUAAACAUAUUCUUUGUCCAGACUGCUCAUCAGUCUCCUACUGACUCUCUCCACUCUCAACCUCACUGUGGCUUUUUAACACAUUGAUGUUCAGAAAUACAGUGAAAUACAGCAUUUCUUCUUUCCAGUCCUAUACAUUGUUGCAAUAGAUGUUAAGUGACAUUAAACAAAUUCCAAGCAUUUGUUUCACUGACCUGCUUGAUACAACCAUGGCAAAGAACAUUAUCACCCUUGUUGUCAGAUAUCAGAUACAUGUAAUGGGCCUGGAGAAAUGACUCAGCAUUUAAGGCAUGGACUGUUUGCUCUUCUAGAAGAAGUGAGUUUGCUUCCCAGAUUCGUGUAAUGUCCCAAAAUACUGAGACAUAAAUGUCUUAACUGUGACACUAUCAAAUCUGUUAACCUGAAAACUCCUAUGACCUGUUUCCCUUCAAGCAUGUCUGAACAAUGAAAACUUGGCUCUACUUCCAUCUGACCUGAAGAAAUUUCAUCUUUCCUGAAAUGGGUAUCUCCUACUCUCCACCCCACACUAACCCUCUUCGAUUUUCUACGUCACAAGAUUUACUAAAUGCCACCUAUCAUAUGUGUAUUUGACUUGUGCAAGUUUCUGGGUCUAGUAGCACAACCUCAAAAUCUCAGCAACUUGGGAAGCUGAGGCAGGAGGAUCUCAUGUUUAAGACUUGCCAGGGCUGUGGUGCAAACUUGAAGCUAGUCUGGUUAAGUUAGUGAAACCCUGCCUCAAAAUAUCUAUAUAGCUUGGGAUGUAAUUCCAUGGCAGAGUGCUUGCCUAACAUGUAUAAGGCCCCAAAUUUAAUCCCCAGUACCACAAGACAAUAAUGUACAUAACUAUAAUAAAUUUUACAUAGUAAACUUUUAUAAGUAUAUUUCACAAAUAUUUUCACAAUAGACAGAAUCUAUUGUCCAAUAAGCAAAACCUGAUAGUUUCCUUGAAAACUGUGCGCUAAAAGCAUUUAAUGAUUGUAAUCAUAGAAAACUUAGAGGAAGUCAUCCUUGAUUUCCAUGCCUCAGUGUAUAAUUUACUACCACUCAUUGGAAACAGGAUUUUUCAAACCUUGAACCUUAGUUAAUUGUAUUGUUGUUCUGUUAUUGUUGUUGUUGUGGAGUUUGUUACAAAGCAUAGCACCUUGGUCUGACCAGCAUCUGUUGAAUAAAUGACUAGAUGAGCAAAUGUGUUGUUGAUGGCAGAUGAGUAUGUUUGUCCAUGUUUAAAGGGUAGUUUUUUUCUGUAAGCAUGGGUGUGUUUGUUUUCUGGAUACACUGACUGACAGAGUGUGACAUUAUUACCUUCUGUUUACAGGUGAAGAAGCAGAACUGUCUAGAGACUUGCUCAAGUGGAAGUCACCUCUCACACCUGCCCUAUGCAGUCAGGCCUUCUGUGCACACAAUCAAUUGCCUGGAUUAAUGUCACAGGAAAUCCACUCUACUGAUCAGCUGUGCUGGCUCUCCACAGUCUCCAUCGUUGUGAGGAUCCAUCUGCUCUCCCUGGGGUCCCUGGAUCCAAUGCAGGUCAUCAGGCUUGGGGACCAGCACCUUAGCCCAGUGAGCCAUCUCAUCAGCCCUCCAGUGCAAUUUUACCAGCACCUUAACCCAGUGAGCCAUCUCAUCAGCCCUCCAGUGCAAUUUUACCUUAACCCAGUGAGCCAUCUCAUCAGCCCUCCAAUGCAAUUUUACCAGCACCUUAACCCAGUGAGCCAUCUCAUCAGCCCUCCAGUGCAAUUUUACCUUAACCCAGUGAGCCGUCUCAUCAGCCCUCCAAUGCAAUUUUACAGGG